UUACGACCACAUCACGAUAAAACACCGGUUCCCGUUCGAUCGCCGAAGUUUAAGCAACUUUGAGACUGGUCAGUAUCCAGAUGGGUAACCGCUUAGAAAUAUCAGCUGCUGUAA